AUGACCAACAAUAAGUCCACGUGCCACUGUGCUUACGUCUUCGGAGGAGGAACCCAGCUAACCGUCCUUGGUCAGCCAAAGGCAUCUCCCACCGUGCACCUCUUCCCUCCAUCCUCAGAAGAGAUAAAGACAAAGAGCAAAGCCACACUGGUGUGUCUGCUGGGCAGCUUUUACCCAGGGUCAGUCCAAGUCACCUGGAAAGCUGACGGCCAGCAGAUCUUCACUGGAGUGGAGACAACCAAACCCUCCAAACAGAGUGACAACAAGUUCAUGGCCAGCAGUUACCUGUCUCUGGAUGCAUCAAAGUGGAAGACCCAUGAGACCUACACCUGCCAGGUGACACACGAUGGGAAGAACUUCGAGAAGUCCCUGAAGAGCUCAGAGUGUUCUUAACAGGGGGCUCCGCUGGUUCCCGUGUCAGUCACUAGAGAGUUUCCCAGGGGAGCCAGGAACCAUAAUGCUGAUUUCCAGCAAAACUGCUUCCUGUUAAAUGUGAUCCCUUUGAUGCCCGCUGUUAUUCCCAUGUUCCCACUGCUCUCGCCCCUCUGCAUUCCCUGGAAAUGUCCUUCCUGCUUCAGCCUCUGAUGCAGCCUUGUUACGAUAUUAAUAAAACCAGAAACAUUCAGCUAUCGCUGUGUCUGUGCAGAGUUAAACCUCUCCUGUCCUCUUCACACGUACUGACUGUAUUUGAACUAUUUACAUUAUCUUCCAAUAAAACAUGUACCUUUAUCA